CAGACGGGACCGGACACACGGAACAGAGACAGGCGGGACGGGAACAGACGGGACCGGACACACGCAACAGAGACAGGCGGGACGGGGACACACGGAUCAGGGACAGACGGGACCGGGACACACGGAUCAGGCAGACAGUCCGCCCCGCUCACGGGCCGGGGUUCAGCUGCCGGUUCCCCCGGCGGGCGGCAGCGAGGGACAGGGCACAGCACCGCGCGCGGGAGACGGGGGGAACAGUUCUUGGCAGUAACUUUCAUAUGCAGAGACGCGACAACUUGCUUUCUGCCAAAGGAGAAGAGAAGCAGCUGCCUUUCAGUGCUGUUUAAUCUUUAGCUCCAUCGUCCCUCGAGAAAAGGAAGAAAGGAAGUUAUUUAAAACAAAAGUCUUGUCGUUUGGCUGCUGGGAAUUCAGAUGUUACAGUGCGAGGGAAACUUAAUACGGUUUUCCACUGGGGAGAGCCGGGGGCAGCUCGAUCCCACCCGGCACUGCCCAUCCCGGACCGGCAUUCUCCAGCCCUUACACCCAGCAAGCAGCGCGGGCGAACAACCAAGGAGCCCUGGAUUGGAAGCAAGCUCAGUUUUGUGUUUCCCACAGGAAUGCAUGACAGCCCAGCACAGAGGAACAUGAUAUACCAGUCUUAAGUCAUCUGCUCUAGGUGGCACAUGCUCAGCAAGGAGGCACAAGUGAGCUGGCAGGGGAAGAUGUGAGUUUAAACACAACUACUUGUUAAUGACAUCUACUCAAGAGCAAAAAAUACCAAGGCAUCAGCUGCAGAGCUGCCCCUGUGAUCUGGCAGCAGAGCUGGAAGCCAAAAGCUUCAUCAGCUUUAUUUCCAAAUAUUAAUUAAAAGUUUCAGAGAACCAGAAAGAGGUUGAAAAAAACCAACACAGUGUGAUGGGAGCUUCUUCAGGUCUUGAUAGGAGACUUGACAUGAACAAGAAGAGACUCCUCUGAAAGGUGUUGACCAUCUCCACUUCAGGGAUGGGCAGAGAAAAGGGCAAAGCAGUGGAAUUUGUGAUUCUAGCCUGAAGCAAAGAUGACUGAAGGGACCCGAGCAGGAGAAAGGACACAAGCAGCAAUGUCUGCUCCCAACAAGCAACACCACUGUAGGUAUGUCAUCGGACUGGACUGAACACGUCGCAACCACAAACAGACCUUGCAGUGAACCAGCCCUGCAGAUACCUGUUACUAAUCUAAUAAACCCAAAUUUUACUGCCA